rnacentral:rRNA from 1 species
UACAGAGACUGCAAGCGUUAUUCGGAUUCACUGGGCGUAAAGGGUGCGCAGGCGGUUGGGUGUGUCAGAUGUGAAAUCCCGAGGCUUAACCUCGGAACUGCGUCUGAAAUUACUCGACUAGAGUAUUGGAGAGGGUAACGGAAUUCACGGUGUAGCAGUGAAAUGCGUAGAUAUCGUGAGGAACACCAGAGGCGAAGGCGGUUACCUGGACAAUUACUGACGCUCAGGCACGAAAGCAUGGGGAGCAAACAGG